rnacentral:lncRNA from 1 species
GUGAAAGCUGCAUCAAGGGGAAACAAUUUCUAGAAUUUUAUUGGGUAUACAUGUGUCAGCUUUCCAAGAACUGUCUAUUGAGUGACCUACAUUUUCUGUUGCAGCAGGGAGAAAUAUGAAUCCCGUUAGCUGCUGUUUACUGGAAAUGGUCGAUAAAUGAGUGUGUCAACAUAGUGGCUCCUGAGUCACAUACAGCUUGCAAGAAAUUCAAGCAGAGCUCCCUUGCACAGCCCAUAUCACAUGGAAGAUUGACGUUUUGGACUGAAAGACCUUACUCUCUUUCUGAAAAAGCUGAAACUAACCCGGAAACAUGGAGAUGCUACCUCCCAGACAAUUAUGAGAAAGGAAAUCACAGAAUCACAGAAUUAUCUAGGUUGGAAGAGACCUCAAGAUCAUCGAGUCCAACCUCUGACCUAACACUAACAAGUCCUCCACUAAACCAUAUCGCUAAGUUCAACAUCUGAUGUAAAAGAAAACUGAAUGAUGCUUUCUGAAAUAUAAAAUUUCUUGCAUGUGUAACCAUAGUGGGCAGGUCAGAUGUCUGACUGUGUAAAAAAAUA